UACGAAGGAUUCGAGCGUUAUCCGGAUUUAUUGGGUUUAAAGGGUGCGUAGGUGGAUUAAUAAGUCAGUGGUGAAAGCCCGAAGCUCAACUUCGGAACUGCCAUUGAUACUGUUAAUCUUGAGUACAAUUUGAAGUGGGCGGAAUGUGUCAUGUAGCGGUGAAAUGCUUAGAUAUGACACAGAACACCGAUUGCGAAGGCAGCUCACUAAAGUUUGUAACUGACACUGAGGCACGAAAAGCGUGGGGGGAGCAAAACAGGA
rnacentral:rRNA from 1 species